rnacentral:SRP_RNA from 1 species
CUCGACCCCUCGCGUGGCGGCAUCUCGCUGAACCCCCCCAGGGCCGGAAGGCAGCAAGGGCAGGUGGGCUCUGCCGGGUGCGCGAGGGGUCCUUUUG